rnacentral:miRNA from 1 species
CAAAAACCUCAAUUGCUUUUGU